GACGAACGAUGGAGGCGGGCGGAACACAUGCAAGUCGAACGGAAAGGCCCUGCUUUUGUGGGGUGCUCGAGUGGCGAACGGGUGAGUAACACGUGAGUAACCUGCCCUUGACUUUGGGAAAACUUCAGGAAACUGGGGCUAAUACCGGAUAGGAGCUCCUGCUGCAUGGUGGGGGUUGGAAAGUUUCGGCGGUUGGGGAUGGACUCGCGGCUUAUCAGCUUGUUGGUGGGGUAGUGGCUUACCAAGGCUUUGACGGGUAGCCGGCCUGAGAGGGUGACCGGCCACAUUGGGACUGAGAUACGGCCCAGACUCCUACGGGAGGCAGCAGUGGGGAAUAUUGCACAAUGGGCGGAAGCCUGAUGCAGCAACGCCGCGUGCGGGAUGACGGCCUUCGGGUUGUAAACCGCUUUCGCCUGUGACGAAGCGUGAGUGACGGUAAUGGGUAAAGAAGCACCGGCUAACUACGUG
rnacentral:rRNA from 1 species